AGUAGAGUGGCUUGGUGGAAAGAGCCCGGACUUGGAAAUUGGAGUUUGUGGGUUCUAAUCCCAGCUCUGCCA
rnacentral:tRNA from 1 species